GCGCCAGUAGUGCAGCGGGUUAGGCACGCGCUGCCGGAUAGAAUAAGAUGCGCGUUCGAGUCCCGCCUGACGCA